UCUCAGUUCGGACUGUAGGCUGCAACUCGCCUACACGAAGUUGGAAUUGCUAGUAAUCGUGGAUCAGCAUACUACGGUGAAUACGUUCCCGGGCCUUGUACACACCGCCCGUCAAACCAUGAGAGUUGGCAACACCCGAAGUCGGUAGUCUAACCGCAAGGAGGACGCCGCCGAAGGUGGGGUUGAUGAUUAGGGUUAAGUCGUAACAAGGUAAC
rnacentral:rRNA from 1 species